rnacentral:rRNA from 1 species
UGGCCGCAGUAUUCUAACUGUGCAAAGGUAGCAUAAUCAUUAGUUUUUUAAUUAGAAACUGGAAUGAAAGGUCGAACGAGAGAGAAUCUGUCUCUUUAAAAAUUUUUUAGAAUUUUAUUUUUAAGUUAAAAAGCUUAAAUUAAUUUAAAAGACGAGAAGACCCUAUAGAGUUUUAUAAAAAUUAUUAUAAUAAUUUAAAUUGAAUAUUUUUAUUUUUAUAAUAAUUAAUAUUUARUUGGGGUGAUUAAAAAAUUUAAUAAACUUUUUUUUAAUUUAAACAUUAAUAAAUGAUUUGUUGAUCCAAUAAUUUUGAUUAUAAGAUUAAAUUACCUUAGGGAUAACAGCGUAAUUUUUUUUAAGAGUUCUUAUCGAUAAAAAAGUUUGCGACCUCGAUGUUGGAUUAAAAUUUAUUUUUGGUGUAGUAGCUAUAAUAUUAGGUCUGUUCGACCUUUAAAAUUUUACAUGAUCUGAGUUUAAACCGGUGUAAGCCAGGUUGGUUUCUAUCUUUAAAUAUAUUUAAUAUUUUAGUACGAAAGGACCAAAUAUUAGUAAUAAUUAAUUUAGAUGAAUUUUAUUAAUAA